rnacentral:lncRNA from 1 species
GAAGGUCCAACAUUGACAUUUAGGUUGCUCUGUUUUGUUUAACAAGGAAGUACGCAAUGAAAUGGUUAAAAUGCUUGCAUCGUACAGCGAGUCAACCAUUGUUUUAUACAAGUGACUAUUCCUCAAAACAAAUAAUACUUGCAUGGAUUUGCUCACAGUGCUGGAAUUAUGAUGCGUGGAUGUGCCUGUUUGAUGUUAUAUUUUGAACUUUUUUCAUUCCCAAAACUUGUUUAUCUUUCCACUCAUGCAAAUGCACUAUGCUUUGCGUGAGAAUCAUGAAGAAUUGUUGCUUUUAUAUUGAUAUUUUUCUGCAAUUUCAGCGUUUGUUGUAUUUUCUCUUCCAAAUAUCUUCUUUUUUAUGCUCUAGCUCAGUGACCUGAACUAUCUCUACUAUGCUUGUCGGGCAAAACAUCCCACUGUCAUCUUUGCUUGGCAAAAUCUCUCGGUAGGAUCAAAUGCAAACACUGUCAAGUUAGGCAACUAAUGUGCUUACGUUUAUCUUUUGCAACUUUACAAAAAAAAAAACAAAAACAAAACAAAAACAAAAGGCUAUUUAUUUUGGUAGGUGUACUGAUAUGCUCUAAACUUUUUUUUUAGUGACAUGCUCCGAAAGAUUAAUCCAUAUCAUGAUGUCAAUUUUCGAGUUCUAUAUUCAUGGUCAAAUGGAGAAGCUUUUUUACUUAUAACAACAGCAGCUACUGUAACGAUGCAAAAAAUAGGAUUUAAAACAGGUGUUUUCAAGUUGGUGAAUAUUGUUGACACCUAAUUUUUGCCCAAAUUAUUGCAUAUAGAUUAUCUAGGUAUUUAAAAUGGAAGAUGUUUUCCCUAAAAAAAAAUUAAAAAAUUAAAAAAUUAAAAAAUUAAAAAAAAAAGAGAUAAAAGAUAAAAAAAAAGAUUAAAAAGAAAAGAAAAGAAAAAAAGUUGGGGCCAAUGAUCUAAAUGUGACUAGCCAAGCCCAGGAGGUCAUAUUGGAAUUCAAAUGGCAAGUUGGGGCCCAAAUGCAAUUUCCAAAAGUCGAGGGACCAAUUCGUAAAUUUUGCAAAAUUUGCGCCCGAGCCCUUAAUUCAUCAUCUUGGUCAUCAAUUAAGUUGAAAUUGAAUUUGGUCCAAGCAGAAUCAAUCAAAUUGAGCCAAAAAGGACCUAAUUGCAUUGAAUUUGGCAUUUUCGGGCAAGAAAAUGGCCAACUUUGAGGUACUUUCUUGUAAAAUUGGGUGGAGAUAAUUGCGAAAAAUGGUCAAGAUCUUAAACUACUAUACAUGAGCUUUCUAAUUGAUCAAAAAACGCAGCCAAAUUAGUGGAUUAAAGCACUCAAAUCAGCAGCCAAAACUCAGUCCACGAGUUGGUCUUAAUCCGGAGUUGCUGAGUAAGCAAUUUGGUGGCCCCACCAUAUCCUCCUCAGCUGCCCAACCAGCCCGAUAUUUGCACUUGAUGGAAGACCGUAUAUAGUAGUGCAAGUGGACGAAAAUUGGCCAGAGAUAAGCUUCUGACAGCACCGGAAAAUCGCAGCAAAACCUGCACACUCAACAGCUGCAGAAGUUAAAAAAUUGGCUAAGUCAGAAGAGUAGUUGAAGUAGCCCUGUUGACAGGCUUGGUCGGUGGGCAAAAGGCUGACCAAAAAUCCCUUAAUUCGGGGGAUAAGGUCACGGAAGCAAGGUCUUUCGAGAGAGGAGAGAGAGGAGACGAGAGGGAGAGGGGAGAGCUCGGAAUCGUCCCCCAAAGAGGCCCUCAGAAGCAACUCCAGAAAAGAAAACCCAGAAAUUCCAGAUCAACCUUCUGAGAGAAAAGUGAGAUUUUCGCGAACCUGCAGCCAAAAUUAGCCAAAACCUUAAACUAGAGAGUGAAACAUCACUCAAAUAUCUUUCCAUCCAUAGGUCGCACGUCCAAAAUGUAGAUCGGGAAGGCCUCCUAAAGCCCCCCGAAACAGUGCCCUCCUGUCGGGCCAAGAAAGUCCGAAAUUUUUCUAAGUGUCGAGACUGGUUGGUCACGAGUGAGGAAAGCCAGUGUUUUUGAGAAAGUUGAGAGACAAAUGAGGAAAAUAUUGACUUUUAACCCAGACUAGAAUACAUAUAGUUUUUCGUGGUGUCAAUUUUUCCAACAAAAUACGUCUUGAAGUCUAAUGUUAGAGCCCAACGAAAACCUUCGUUGUCAGUUCAUUUUUUUUGCAGAUCUCAUUUCUAGUUGAAGAAGUCAACUUCCACAGGCCCCCCGAGGAUAAUUUGUCGGUUUCAUCGGCCAAGAACCACUUGAAAAAGAAACUAGGAAGAAAGGUAAGCACCCUAGAUGUAUUUAUUUUCGAGUUUGAGCAUGUUUUGAUCAUGAAAAUCAAGAGGAAAACCGGCCCGGAAAACUGAUUUCUGAGGUUGAAAUUUUUCUUAGUGUUUGAAAUCUCUUCAAGAGUGUUGCAUGUGUGCUUCUUGGAGAGGUCUCUUUGAUGUUGUUCGGUGGGUCAUUCUCUGUGAUGUUUAUUGCAUUUGAAAGCUCAUGUUACCUACUUUCAUUCGGAUCAAGUAAUGUUUCCCUUAGAUCUCGUAUGUGAUAGGUGUCGGGGCUUGAAUAUGGGCACUCAACCUGUUUGCUUGACUUGGGUUCAAAUCCAGAUUUGCAAAAUCAGAUCAAACCCGCAUAUUUGAUGAGGAUUCCAGCUUGGUUUUCAUGUGUUUUAAGCUGUGUUUUUUUAUCUAUAUUACUCCUUGCAUGUUGUAGUUUAACCUUGAUGUUUUAGUUCCAUAUAAUAUUGCUCAUGAGUUGAGAUUGAAGACCGCAAACAUGGCCCGAGGAAGCUGAUUGGGGCUAGUUUAAUGCACCAAGUGUUCGACAAAAUGCUCAAACUAAGCUUCGAUCUUGAAACGAUCGAUUUGAGCUUGAUUAUUGUGAUAUUCAUGUGCUGUGUUACUCCAUGUUAGCAUAGAUCGGUUUAAGGAAUUAUUAUUAUUUUUUUUUUUAAAAAAUAAUUAAAAAAGAGAAAAAUAUGAAAAUUUCAAAAAUAUCAAAAAAUGUUAGAUAGCAUCAAAUUAGGAUAUAAAUGACAUAUAUGAAAUUUUCCUAAUUUUAAAAGGUCAUUUUCCUAAUUUAAUGCUAUUUUGGUAUUUUAUAACCAUUUUUGUAAAUAAUCCAUUUUGCGUAGAUUAAAACUAUUUAAAGUAAUUUCAUGCAUAUAGAGUAAUUUCAUGCAUAUUUGAACUCUCAUUUUGCUCAUGGGGGUCUUGUCCCGGGGCGUGAUAACAAGGCCAUGUAAUAUUAUUUGCCCGACUUGUAUCGAGUUUACCUUUUCCGCGUUUAUUUUCAAGUCAUUUCAAUUUCUUGGAUGUUUACUUACGCGCCGCUUUUCAUUAUUUUGAGUGUAAAUUUCUCUUCUAAAUUAUGUUAGGAUUAGUCUAGACAUUAAAAAAAAAAAUACAAAAACAUUUGCAUGGACACUUAGUGGUUUCAUAAAGAUUAUAAUUGGUAAUCAAGAUUGUAUGGCCAUUUAGAUAAACAACCUUCCAAGUUAGUGGUACCGCAAGGGCGCUAAUAGAAACAUUGGCGUAAACAAGUCCCCGUUCCUAGAAAUCUCUGGUUGCGUAUGAAUCGAGACAACACUCCCGUGUCUUGAUUGGUUUCUAGCCGACCUCAAUAGGCUAGUGGCGACUCCUAGAAUUACAUAGGUUGUUAAUAACUAAAAAACGAAUCCAAUGUCGCGCGGGGUAUGGGCUUGGGAGAGCCCGCGCCUAAUCUAGGGCCAUUGGUCCACCUCUUUACGCAAAUACCCCUAAACCUUCUUCUUUUUCCCCGGACAGAAAAAAAGAGGUCGUGACAAAUAUGACAACAAAAUUUGAUUGAGCCCUGCAGUAUCAGCCAUUUAAAUCUGAGUUCCUUGUUAAAGUUCAUCAUUUAUCUUUCUCCUAUUCAACUUCCCACACCAUCUCACAGCACAUUUUCUUUUUCUUUGUUGUUGGGAAAAGGUGGAAAGGAGCAAUAAGGAAGACUAUGAUUUGUCCAAAUUUUGGGAUAUUUCUAUGCAAGAUUCUGAAAGAUCACUGCUCAAAACUCACUGGCAACUAUUGGCCCCUCAUCCAAGAGAUCCCUCCCUUCUACAUUGAUGGUGUUCAAAUCCAGUGAAUUGAAAUUGAUCACACCCGAGCCAUGACAAAUGAUUUAUCUUCAUUGACUACUUUUCCUUCUUCAGGUAAUUCUUAUAACUUCUUUCAUUCUUUUGCUUCCAUUUGCUAUCUGCCACAAUUCGUUGUUCCACCUAAAGUCAGCUUUCUGGGGUUGCGGUCAAUAUUUUGGGUUUGAAGGUAUCAAUUUCUGUUUUGUUCUUCAGUUUGAUGCUUAAUACAGAUUGAUUUUUUCCCGUGGAGAUGUUUCUCAUAGAAUUUCCAAAAACCAGCCACUGAAGGUCAGAGACUGACAUUUGGGUGUGUCGUGUGUGUCCUCGAUGGGGUCUUUUCUUUUUAGGCCAGCAACUCACUCACGGUUGAAAUAAGCCAAAUGUGAUAAGAAGGAUGGGGGAUAUAGAUGUAGGUCCCAGUUUUGGCAAAGCUACCUAAUGGGCACAAGCAUUUGGUUUUCGUGAAAUAUAGCUAAAAUUUGGGGCUGCAAAAUGAUCUUUAGCUUCUUGAAUCCCAUCAGGCACAUCCUUUAGUCUUUAAUUGCACUGUUUGGGAAAAUUGAUAAUAUCCUUGUAUACCACAGCUGCAUUCAGCUCCACUACUACCUUGAUUCAGCUUUUUUUUUAGCUACUGCAAUGCUCUUUCGAACAGCAAGUAAUUCAGCCUCCUUUGCAGAUCUAGCUUGCACUACCACACCUCUGCAGGCAAUUAUCUUCCCUGUUUCAUUUCUGGCCAUAAUCCCAAUGACAGCAUUUUUAGUUCCUCCAAAGUAAGAGCCAUCACAGUUAAUCUUCACAAAACCUAGCUCAGGUUUACUCUACACACCUUGCCUUUCAUCCACCCAAUCAUGACCCAGCUCUCCUACAUUUUUACAAGAAACGCAGUUUGAAAGUGCUUUUUUAAUUUGUAGGAGUGACAGUUUCAGGAUCAAGUGAUUUAUGGUCAAAGAUUACUGCAUUUCUAGCAUUCCGGAUAUACCAACUGGUGUAGGCAAUCAUUCUUAAGCGUUAUCAGCCUGUACCAAGUCAUUCGAAUCUCCUAGCCUCACAUUUGUAGAAUAUCAACCCAUACCAAUAAGUCACCAUCGCUAGUGAUUAGCAGUCUCCCAUACUUGUUAGUCAACAUAGCCAUAAGGGUUUUUUAGCAAAAGGAAAAACCAUUCAAAAGGGUCACCGAUUCCUGACAAUAAUAAAGCAAAGUAUCCCGGUUCUUGUCUUGUUUGCUCAUUUUUGGUUGCUUUUGGGUGGGUAUGCAUAUGAUUUUGUUUGUCGGAUCACUCUUGUAGUUGUUCAUUAAGCAUGAAAGGCAACUGUUAUUCAGGACUAAUUGAUCACCCGUUCCAGGUUUUUGGAUGAGAAAUAUGGGGAAUGUGGAAAGACCAUCAACGGUGGAGGAUGUAUGAUGCAUGGGGUCUUCUGUUUCCUUCCUCUCUAACCUCUCUUUGGAUGAGAAAUAUGAGGAGUGGAAAGACUAUCAAGUGGUGUUCAUGGUCAUCUCUCCUCCCUCAAAAGUUAUAUUUUCUAUGUUGCUCGAAGUUUGGGUACUUGCCAGAGGAUGGCUUCCCUCCCUCCCUCAACGUAUUCCACAUAAUUCAAUGUGAGAUUUUGAAGGAUGGAUCCUCUUUUGCGGGCAACUACUGGCACCUCAUCCAAGAAAUCCCACUCAUUGUGAUUAAUCUAGUUCGGAUCCAACAGGAAGAUUUCUCUCCACUGUUUUAAGUUUUGCUCUUCAGGUAAUGAUUUGGACUUCUUUCUUUCACACUUGUCAUUUAGCUACUGCUGCUCCAGGAUCCAUUUUCAUUAUGCUUCCUCAACUCAAUGCUAAAAUGUUCAUUUUUUUCCAUGGACGUGCUUCACAUAAAUGUCCACAAACCAGCUGCUGAAUGUCCAACGUUGACAUUUGGGUUGCCCUGUUUUGUUUACCAAGGAAGUACACAAUGAAAUGAUUAUAAUGCUAAUGUGGUACAGCCAAUGACAAUUCCUCGAACAAAUAAUACCUCCAUGGACUUGCUCAUGGUGCUGGAAUUAUGAUGUGUCAAAUGUGCCUGUCUAUAUCGAUUGUGAUGGCCAAAAAUUGCUUAUCUCUGCACUUGGAUGACACAUAAAGAAUUUGCUAAUGGAAAUGCACCAUGCAUUGCGUGAGAAUUAUGAAAAAAUUGUCACUCUCAUAUCGAAAUUGUUCUGCAAUUUCAGCAUUUGCUGUAUUUUCUCUUCCAAAUAUCUGUUUCUUAUGCCCUAGCUCACUGACCCGAAUUCUCUCGACUGUGCUUGUCUUGCAGAAGAUCCCACUGUCAUCUGUGUCUGGCAAAAUCUCUUGGGCUGAUCAAAUGCAAAUACUGUUGAGGUAGGCAACUGAUGUACUUAUGUCAUCUUUUGCAACCUGACAAAAGAUAAAAAAAAAAGCUAUUAAUUUUGGUAGGUGCAUCGAUAUGCUUUAAUUUUUUUUUUCUUUUUGUGACAAGGUCUAAAUAAGAUUAAUCUUUAUCAUGAUGUUGAUUAUCAAGGUCUAUAUUCAAAGUCAAAUUAAGAAGCUUUAUUACUUUGAAUAACAGCUAUUGUAAAGAUGCAAAAAUGGGAUCUAUAAUGGGUUCUCAAGUUGGCAAAUAUGAGAACUAAAUUUCAAUGAACCUUGCAUAUUAUAAUCUAUUCAAAUCUGACUUUCUUGUUAAAGUUCACAAUUCAUCUUUCUUCUAUUUAAAUCUCACACCAUCUCAGAGAACAUUUUCAUUUUCUUUGUUGUAAAGGAAAGGCGGAGAGGAGCAAUCAGGAGAUUAUGCUUUGUUGCUCUGUUGAGUAAUCCUAAAAGUCUCACGUCUGCCACGAAGUAUUUUGAUUUAAAAUUGCAAGAAGGUCAUCAUCCAAUACCACUUGCAACCCAGUUAUCUUGGGUAGGCAAGUCUCAUCGUUAUCCCACUAAGCUGCCAGAGCUUUAGUUAAUCUUCACAAAACCUAGCUCAGGUUACUCUACAAACCCUGCCUUUUGUCCACCCAAUCAUGACAGUGAUUUAUGUAGUGACAGUUCCAGGAUCAAGUGAUUUAUGUUUAAUGGUUACUGUAUUUCAAGCAUUGGAGAUAUACCAGUACGUGUAGGCAAUCAGUCUUAAGAGUUAGUAGCUCGUACCAAGUCAUUUGAUCACCUGACCUCACUUUUGUAAAAUAUCAGCCCAUGCCAAUAAGUCUCUAACACCAGUGAUUAGUGGUCUUCCAUACUUGUUUGUUAACAUAAUCAUAAGAGUUAUCCAGCAAUUAUAAAAAAAAACUCAUCAAUAGGGUAUCCUGGUUCACUUUUUGUUGCAGUCAAUUAGGUGUGCAUAUAAUUUUGUUCUGAUCACUCUUGUAGUUGUUCAUUAUGCAUGAAAGAUAAUUUUUAUUCAGGACUAAUUGCUCGCCCUGUUUCAGACUUUUGGAUGAAAAAUAUGAGGACUGUGGAAAGACUAUCAAUGGUGGAGGAUGUAAGAAGCGUGGAGUAUUCUGUUUCCCUUGUCUCUAAUUUCUCCUUGGAUGAGAAACAUGAGGAACAUGGAAAGAUUAUCAAGUGAUCUCUCUCCCCUCACUCAAACAACUAUCUUUUGUAGGUUACUGGUACUUGCCAGAGGAUGGCUUUGCUCCCUGCUCCAAGUAUUCGUCAUAAUGCAAUGUGAAAUUCUGAAAGAUUGAUGCUCAAAACUCAUAGUGAUGACUGUUGGCACCCUAUCCAAGAAAUCCCUUUCAUUGUAGUUGAUUGAGUUUGGAUUCAAUAAGAAGAUUUCUCUGCAAUGUCUAAUUUUUAUUCUUCAGGUAAUGCUUUGGACUUCUUUCUUCUUCCACACUUGUCAUAUAGCUACUGCUACUGCUCCAGGAUCCAUUUCUAUUAUGAAUCCUCAAUUUGAUGCUAAAAAGUUCACGUUUUUCCAUGGACAAGCUUCACAUAAUUUGCCUCAAACUAGCUAGACAUUUAGGUUGCUCUGUGUUGUUUGAUAAGGAAGCACACAAUGAAAUGGUUAUAAUGCUGAUGGGGUACAGCUAGUCCACCUUUGUUUCAUACGAGUGACUUCCUCAAAACAAAUAACACUUCAUGGGCUAGCUCACAGUGCUGGAAUAGUGAUGCACGGAUGUGCUUGUCUGGAUUGAUGAUAUAUCUUGAACUUUGUUCGGUGCCCAAUUAUGGCUCAUCUUUCCACUUAUGGAAAUGCACUAUGCUUUGCGUGAGAAUCAUGAAGACUUGUUGCUCUUAUACCGAUAUUUUUCUGCAAUUUCAGCAUUUGUUGUAUUUUCCAUUCCAAAUAUCUUUAUUUUAUGCCCCAACUCAGUGACCUGAAUCUUCUCAACUGUGCUUGUUUUGCAGAAUAUCUCACCGUCUUUUAUUUGGGAAAAUCUCUCGGGAGGAUCAAAUGCAAACACUGUUGAGGUAGGCAAAUGAUGUGCUUAUGUUCAUCUUUUGCAACUUGACAAAAGAAAAACAAAAGGCUAUUUAUUUUGAUAGGUGUAGUGAUAUCCUCUAAACUGUUUUUUGGGUGACAUGCUCAAAAAGAUUAAUCUGUAUCACGAUGUCAAUUAUCGAGCUCAAUAUUGAAAGUCAAAUGAAUAAGCUUUCUUACUUCCAACAACAGCAGCUAUUUUAAAGAUGCAGAAAAUAGGAUUCAAAACAGGUGUUUUCGAUUUGGUGAAUGUGACAAUUAAAUUUGAAUGAAUCCUGCAGAUUAUAAUCCAUAUAAAUCUGACUUCCUUGUCAAAGUUCAAAGUUCAUCUUUCUUCUAUUCAAAUUCCCACACUAGCUCAGAGCACAUUUUAUUUUUCUUUGUUGUCAAGGCAAGGCGGAGAAGAGCAAUCAGGGAGACUAUGCUUUGUCGCUUUGUUACAUCAUCAUGAUAGCCUUACGUUUGCCGCGAUGUAUUUUGAUAUAAGAUUGUAAGAAGGCCGUCAUCCAAUACUACUCACAACCAUUUAUAUAUGGUAGGCGAGUUUCGUCACUAUGAGCCUACCAAGCUGCCAGAGCUCCCGUCAAAGAUGAAACAAAAUUCAUGCACCAUCAUCGCUAGGGGGUUAUCGUUGUGACGUUGCGUUCGUGAAAUAUCAACCUGUGCCAAUAGGCCACAAUCACUGGUGAUCAGCGGUUCCCCGUAGUUCUGCAAUAGCAUUAUCAUUAGGGGCAUUAAGGAAGAACAAAAUCAUCAAAACAAUCACAUUUUUUAGGCUAGCAAGUGGCAAUUGGAAGUACCCUGGUCUGUCUUGUUGAUUGGUGAGCAUGUGUAUGAUUUGUAUGUCUGAUUGCUCUUGUAAUUGUUUAUUUUGCAUGACAAAGUAAUUUUUACUGUGGGCUACUCGAUUUUCUCAUCUGAUCAUCUGUUUUUGUUCCCUUUUUCAUCUCACACAUCAUACAUUAAUCUUUUGGUUGAACUUGAAGAGUCCGAUAUAGUGACUGAUUCUAUCAAGAUAAUUAUAUUGACGAUUGCGAUCGACAAAAGUUGGGGCAUUAAAGAAAAUGUCUAGGCCCUUAGGAAAGUGAACUCUGAUCAACGUAAAGAAAACAUAAUUCUUUUUGUUUUUUUUUUUAUCUGUUUCGCUUUUUAUGCAAUUAAAAAGCAAUUUUUUCUCAACGAUUUGUGAGAAUUUUAGAUGUCUUCAAAACACCUAUCUUCAUCUAGUCAACUAAUCCUACGUUAGUUGCCUUUAUACAGUGUUACAAAUCUUCUUGCUUUUUCUUUACAGUAUGUGGUAAUAGUUUACAUGAUUGAGUUGAAUAAUGAUUGUUUCGAGAAUACCUAAAUAUUUGUCACCAAUGAUUUAGAUUUAUUGAUUUUUCAAACAAUAGUGUGUGAUAUACUAAUUUAUAGAUGUAAAUAAAUGAUAUAAGCAUAUUCAUGAUGAUUAAGAUUUGUUGAUUUUUCAAACAAUACCGUGUGAUAUACUAAUUUAUAGAUGUAAAUCAAUGAUAUAAGCAUAUUCAUUAGUCGGGAUAUCAUUUGUUAAGGUUAAAAUAACUUUUGAAAAAUUUCCCCCUGUCAAAAAAAUAAAAUAAAAUAAAAGGCUUUUCCGGAACUUCAAAAUUUGCGGAUGUCAAAAAAUAAUGACAAGUCAACUUUCCAUUAUCCAUAAUAUGACGUUGUUCUUUUCUCUUUGCCAAAAAAAUUGAUAUGGCAUAAGAGGAUGCGACUGAUCUUAAUAUUUAAAGCAGGCUCCAAAUAAGAAAAAAACUAGUAAUAUCGACAUUUCAUAUGUGGAGCGAUAUUGAUACUGUGGAGCUUAUAUAUUUCCCUUAAUAAAUUCCUAGUUUAAUACCAAAGAGAAGCCAAAAAAAAAAAGAAAAAAAAAGGACUUCCUAGUUAGUUCCCGAAACAAGCUCCCUCUUCAAAUUUUGUAGUGUGAAAUAAAAGUUAUUUUUUUCUUAAAGGAAGAUUUUAUACAUAUAUUUUCGAAAUGUUUCAGGUGUUCUCAGUGCUAAAUGCAUAUUCAACUUGAAUUUAACAACUGCAACAGUAUUAAGCCCUAACGCCAUGCUGCAAGUGCAAUGGCAUUGAAUGGGCCGUCGUUGUCAUGUUGGGCCUCAAAAGGUAGAUAGCCCCAACUCUUGGGCCUUAAUCCCAAAAUGGAUCCGAUUUUACUUGGACUUGACAUACAAUUCGGCUAAUAAGGUAAAGAAAGUUGUUCGGCUAGGACAAUGGUCACUAUUAGUAUUUGUAGAACUAUUGAAUGGGCAAGCCUAGACGGACCAAAUCGGAUAGUGACCAUCAAAAUUCUUACCUGGCCUGGCCUAUGAUUUUGGAAACUAUUAUACUUUCUUAGUAUGAAUAACAGCGUCGAUGCAAGCCAAAGCCCAAGCAGAAAUUACUUGUCCAGACUCAUUCGGGCCAUCCAUUUGCCCAAUAAUAAAACCACAUUGGACAAGUCUUGGUAGCUCUAAGCUCUAAGAGAAGAGUCAUGGCCCCAAGCUUGCCCAAUUGUUUUCCCUUAUAUUUGGGCUAGGUUUAGCCGAGCCCAAUGGGCAAUUCUUCUUUUGCUCUCAGCCUACUCAAAUGCAUGAACGAGUUUGUUUGACACUUGAAUUAGUGUAAGCAAUUCAAAAUAUCUGGUUUUAUCCCAAGGGACAAAAAUGAUAUAUAUAUAUAUAUAUAACAUGCUUAAUAUUGAUGUGGGUACUUUUUGCGUAUGGUCGAAAUUUGGGGCCUAACUAUGUGCGAAAACACACAAUCAAAUAUGAAGAAAAAUGAUUUAUUACAGUGGCUCUCUCUAAAUUUAGUUAAUGAGAGACUUGUAAUCAUUCUAAUUCCCUCUCCUUCCUUAUUCUAGCGUAAUAAGAUGAGCCGUCAUCAUCACCUAACAACAAUUUAAUUGGAAUUGUAUGGUGAGUUGACCAAAAGAAUAUCAUAAUCCAUGGAAAACCUCAAAAGGAGAAAUUUUCUCCCUCAAUGAUAAAAGUUGAUCCUCGGCAUUUUCGUCAAAGGAUUCAAUGUGAAACAAAAGCCAUCAAGCAACACACCACCAUGGGGAAAAUUAUUUAAAAAGUCCCAAAUCUAUUAUAUUUUUGCCAAUUUAGUUUUAAAUAUUUUAAUUUUGUUAAUUCAGUCAUAAACAUUGUCACUUCUUGCUAAUUUAGUCCAUCUGGCCAAUUUUGGAUAAAAAUUGCUAACAUGAACGGCCGAUGUUAAUGUGAAACUUUUUAAUAAUAUUUUAAUUUUUUUUAUAAUUUUUUCUUCUUUUAUUAAUUUUUUUUUUUUUUUGGGUUUCGAAUUUGGACCGGCAACCCUCGCCAGAUCUAGCCAAGCGAGGGCGGCCAAGUCCCCGCCUGGCCAGACUUGGUGAUGGCGUUGCAGCCCUCACCAUUUCUAGGCGAAGGCUCGCACGCCCUCGCCUUGGCCGACAAGGGGCGUGACGUCCUCAACUAGAGCCGGCCCUUCGCCUUGGCUAGCAAGGGGCGUGAUGUCCUCUACCAGAGCCGGCGAGGGCCGGUUAGUCCUCGCCCAUGGUCGGUGAGCCCAAAAGAAAAAGCCAAAAAAAUGAAAUAAUAAAAAAAGGGAAAAAAAUAAAAAAUAUUAUUGAUAUAUUAUUUAAAAAAGGGUAAUGCCAGCGUCAGUUGUUCAUGUUAAUAAUUUUUUGCCAAAAUUAGCUGGAUGGACUGAAUUAUCAAGAAGUAAAAAGGUUUAGGAUUGAAUUAGCACAAGUGCAAUAUGUUUAUGACAUUUUGGACAAUUUUCCCCACCACCAUGCAAAACAAAUAACCACCCUCCUAUAAAAAAAAAAUUUAAAAAGGGCAAGAAAAGCCAAGUUAUAGGCUUUGAAGUCCCGAUUUUAAUUUAUUUUUAAUCAAUCACAUUGUAUUUGCUAAUGUUAGAAGUUUGAACCAAACAUUGAGCUAAUAAGUGAAGAAAGACCGCAAUGGGAUGUUUCAAUACUCCUUGUGAUAUUUUAACAUCCCCUCUUGCAUGAAAAUUGAAAAAAAAGGGUAGACUUGGUUCAUAUACCAUAUUAGAAAGUCAAAUUCAAAAUAUUAAACUAAAAAAUAGAGAGAAAUUACAUAUACAUAAAGAGCAUAUAAAUCGAAUAAACAAGUAAUGGAAGAUACCUUAACAAUCCAUAAUGCCUACUAUUUGGAGUUUUGCGAAGCUCCCCUCCAAUUCAUUUCACGGUUUUUAGUUUCAAUUGGGUAAUCAAGCCUUUAAGAAUAGUACAUCCACCGUUGGAUGACGUGAACUUUCCAUGGAUACCAACUUUUGACGAUACAAGUGAGAAAUCAUGAAUCCUAGAAUUCAUUCUUUAUGUUGUGAAUUCCCCUCUAGAUCAAAUUAAACCAAUCAUUAGGUAAUUAAAGGCAAUUGGAUGUGAUGGUUGAUCUAGCUAGUUUCACUAGUUGCGAUAGUGGCAACACCAUUGGAAUGAGUCGCCUUGGCGGUGGUGUGGACGCCAACAGCAUGGCGGUGGCCGUGGGAAUGGGGGUGCUCUCUCUUGCCCCAUUCCUUCAUUUCUUAUUUCUUUUUCAGUUUUUUGCUGUUUUUUUUUUUUUAGCUUUUCCUUUCGCUUUUAUUAAGCUUAUAUUUGAUAAGAUACAUGAAAAUCUAGACAUAAUUCUAAUUGACAAGUACCAUAGAGAUAAAUGAAUGAAUAAUUAAAGUAUGAUUCAACGUGAAAACAGUUAGACAAACAUUAUUGUUGAUUUUGAGCAAGAGAACAACAAUAAAUGCUGAUUCUUAAAUAAUAUUUCAAUCAAUGGAAACGGAAAAAAAAAUGUAAAAAGUGAAGUAAUAAAGUCAAUUUGCAUCCAGGAAAGUCUUGGUCUUCCUGAGUUUAUGUUAUACGUGGCCAUGACAGUGCUAAAAAUUCGCAGCAAGAUGGGUGGCUAUGAUCUGCUGAAGAGUGCUGAGGAAGUAAUUAAUGAUCAGGAGCAGAUUAAUAGGAGAAUGCUAGUCCUUUUGAACACGAUUUUCCUGUUCAUGAGUUUUAUGUGUAGACCAUAAUUUCCAGUAGAUCAUACUAUUAGAUGGUUAUUUGUGGCUCCUUUAUUAUUGACAGAGUAAAACAAAGCAACUUGCUUAAUGGAUUGGUUGGUGUGCCUAACCCUUUUUCUUGUUUAGCUCAAAGCACGUGCUUUUGUUUUCCUUAUUGAAUAGAGAAAGUUAGCUGUCUAUGAUGACUUGUAGUUAUAUAACGAAAAGUCUUGGUCUUCCUAAGUUUAUGAUUUAUAUACAUGAACAAAUAUAUGAUUAUGGAAACUACAAAUAUCUGAGGAUAUUCUCUCAACAUUACGAGACAAUCACUUGUGGACAAAAGGUAUGUUAUAUCGAUUCGUCUAACCACUUAUGCCUAUUAUUGAAAGUCUAGGUCUUUGUUUAUUGUUUUUGGUAGGUGAAAGUCUUGGUCUUCCUGUCCUUUUGUAGUUUAUUUUAUGUUGAUUCCGAAAAUCUGCCAAUCAAGUAUUUUGCUCCGGUAGCUGGUUCUUUGAAGAUAAACGUGGACGGAUCCAUCCGUGAGGGGUCAACGGAAGGAGCCGUGGCUGGUGUAGUUCGAGAUUUCUCCGGUAGCCUCGUGGAUGGCUUCGCGAAGCAGGUUCGGGCGGUGUUGAGCCUUCACAUUGAAACCCUAGCUGUGCUUGAAGCCUUGGAGUACAUAAAGCAGAAAAAUAUAGCAGAAGCUUCAGUUGAAACCGAUGGCAUAGGGCUUGUGCAAUCCCUAAAGUACAAGAAAGACUUUACUUGGGAAACACGUGCGAGCUGGACAAAGUGCCUUGAACUUCUGCAGCAACUUCCGAACGUGGAUCUGCGCUAUUGUCCGCGGGCCGCCAACACAGCUGCGGAUUGGGCCGCGCGACAAAAAAGAAGUAAAAGCCUCCCUUGCAACUGGACGUUUUCUCCCCCUCAAGGCCUAUGGGCCAUAUUAUGUAAUGAUGCGUCAAUUGUGGGGCUGAGACCAGCUAUAAUAUAAAUAAAAUAGCACUUUUCGAACAAAAAAGUAUUUUGUCAAGAAGAUUUUCAAUAUUUACUCCUUAUUCCACACAUUUUAUCAUCUAAAUCAAAACCGUAAAUACAAAGGAUACUCUACGCCCGACCAAAGCUCUAAACUUCAAUUUCUAACUUUCAUCGUUUACCAAGUACUUUGCUUCUUGUUGUUUGGAUCCAAUUUGUCCGCGGUUUAUGCUACAUCAUAUUGUCCAUUACAUGCUUGUAAGGGACUGACAAUGUGAGUAUAAUGCUAUUAUUACUCAUUUAUUUGGUGAAGUCAGUGUCUAUUUUUCUUCUUUUUUAUAUAUUUAUGUUUUUGGGUUGACAUUAAAAAUGGAGCUCUUGAUUUGGUGGGAUAUAAAUGAGGGGGUGGAAAUUCAUGAGCCAUAAGUGGCGGAAAUUCACGAGACAUGAGUGGGGUACCAUAUGCUCAUUUGAGUGUACACAAAUGUUCAUGGGAUUCAUUGGAAUUGGAAAAUGUGAAGAACUUUAGAUUGGUUCACGCAUCAAGUUCGAGGACCGUGUUUUCUUUAUUGCCCACUGCCUUCAAGAGACUAAUCAAGCCAUUGAUUGGGUCACCAAGGCCCACCGAAACAAGACUCUCCCUACCAAUUAAUUGUCUUUACCCCAUCUUUCCCUAUGGAAUAUUUUAUGUUCAAAAACUCAAUAGUCUAACCCUAGUAGGGUUUGUUUCUUCAUAUGAAUGAAUGUGUCUUUCAACCAAAGAAAAAAAGAAAAAUUUGGGAAGUGGUUUACUUUGUCAUAUCAAACUACUAGUCGAAUUUUGAAUAAAUCUUGGGUAUUUUGAUCUUCUCAAAUUUUUGCAUCUUUAUUUUAUGUCAUUACCUUACUUGUCAAUUUGAUGAAAGAGGUCAUUUUCUGAUAAUUAACUCAAAUUAGCAUUGGAAAUUGUUCGUUUAUUUAUGUUUUCAAAGAUGGGUGCAUGGUAUCAGUGCUUGAUUAACCCAUUGGACAAGGUAUCAUGUCUCGAAUUCAAUUUNNNNNNNNNNNNNNNNNNNNNNNNNNNNNNNNNNNNNNNNNNNNNNNNNNNNNNNNNNNNNNNNNNNNNNNNNNNNNNNNNNNNNNNNNNNNNNNNNNNNNNNNNNNNNNNNNNNNNNNNNNNNNNNNNNNNNNNNNNNNNNNNNNNNNNNNNNNNNNNNNNNNNNNNNNNNNNNNNNNNNNNNNNNNNNNNNNNNNNNNNNNNNNNNNNNNNNNNNNNNNNNNNNNNNNNNNNNNNNNNNNNNNNNNNNNNNNNNNNNNNNNNNNNNNNNNNNNNNNNNNNNNNNNNNNNNNNNNNNNNNNNNNNNNNNNNNNNNNNNNNNNNNNNNNNNNNNNNNNNNNNNNNNNNNNNNNNNNNNNNNNNNNNNNNNNNNNNNNNNNNNNNNNNNNNNNNNNNNNNNNNNNNNNNNNNNNNNNNNNNNNNNNNNNNNNNNNNNNNNNNNNNNNNNNNNNNNNNNNNNNNNNNNNNNNNNNNNNNNNNNNNNNNNNNNNNNNNNNNNNNNNNNNNNNNNNNNNNNNNNNNNNNNNNNNNNNNNNNNNNNNNNNNNNNNNNNNNNNNNNNNNNNNNNNNNNNNNNNNNNNNNNNNNNNNNNNNNNNNNNNNNNNNNNNNNNNNNNNNNNNNNNNNNNNNNNNNNNNNNNNNNNNNNNNNNNNNNNNNNNNNNNNNNNNNNNNNNNNNNNNNNNNNNNNNNNNNNNNNNNNNNNNNNNNNNNNNNNNNNNNNNNNNNNNNNNNNNNNNNNNNNNNNNNNNNNNNNNNNNNNNNNNNNNNNNNNNNNNNNNNNNNNNNNNNNNNNNNNNNNNNNNNNNNNNNNNNNNNNNNNNNNNNNNNNNNNNNNNNNNNNNNNNNNNNNNNNNNNNNNNNNNNNNNNNNNNNNNNNNNNNNNNNNNNNNNNNNNNNNNNNNNNNNNNNNNNNNNNNNNNNNNNNNNNNNNNNNNNNNNNNNNNNNNNNNNNNNNNNNNNNNNNNNNNNNNNNNNNNNNNNNNNNNNNNNNNNNNNNNNNNNNNNNNNNNNNNNNNNNNNNNNNNNNNNNNNNNNNNNNNNNNNNNNNNNNNNNNNNNNNNNNNNNNNNNNNNNNNNNNNNNNNNNNNNNNNNNNNNNNNNNNNNNNNNNNNNNNNNNNNNNNNNNNNNNNNNNNNNNNNNNNNNNNNNNNNNNNNNNNNNNNNNNNNNNNNNNNNNNNNNAGUUUUUUAGUUAUUGAUUGAGGGAAAGGAUGGUACUUGAAAAUCAUUUUUGCUUCCAGUAUCAUCCUUGUCAAUUUGUAGUUUUGCUAUCAAGUUUCGAUGAUCUUUUCUCGAACUUGAAAUGAACACAAUUGUGGGAAGAUACUUACGUUGGGACAUCAACCAAAUUGCCUAAAUACAGUUUUGGUUCUUUUAAAAUUGAUGUUCAGGCAAUUUAUCUCUCUUACUUUUUUGUGGCAGUGCAAUGUCCUGACAUUGUCGGCUUGUACAAUAAAACCUUUCCGUGCCUACCAUUACUUGUAGUGUCCAAUCGAUAAUGUGGCGCCACAUUGGCAAAUUUAGAAAAAAAGUAUAGAAUAUGUAGGAAGAGAGAGGUGGUGGGAACAGUUGCCUAGCCUUGUCCAUACGCUAGCUAAUAUGGUGUCUUGUUUUUGGCGUAACUUUUGGGUUUCGCCCCUUUCAAUGCCCCCCAAAAAAAAAAAAAGAUUGUGUCCUGUACUGGACAAGUAUCAAAAACAAAGGGAUACGACAAAAAUUAUGCCGUAAUACCUUCAACUACUUUGUCCCUGAUCAAUGAAUCUUAUAUGUAUGAAAAAAAGAUUUUUAUAUCCUCUCAAAAUGAUAGGUCAUUUAUCUACCCAAUAAAGUCACAAUGCAACGAAGCAUCACAAAUAUCAUUAUUUUCUUCAAUGAUAAUAUCUUAAGAACAAUUAGUUCUAACUACUUAGUAAUAGGUUCAAUGAGUAGAACACUCGACACUAUUUGUGUAUUAAGAGAAAAUCGGGCACUAUGUGGGUUCGUGAAUAUUGCUGUAUUGGGAAAGACGAAAUCUUCUUAUUCAAAAGCAAGCGCGUAAAUUACAAAUCAUUGCUAUAAAUUUAAUUUGAGUCUUGUUAAUGAAUAUUUCGAAAUCACUUCUUAAUUGUACUUAAUAAAGAAAGAAAAUCGUUCACAAAACAUUACAUGUAAAAGAUAUAAGGGAGACGGUGCAUCAAAUAGAACAAUAUUUCUCUAUUCAAAUAUUUAACAAGUAUCCUUGGACUACAUGUUAAGAAGUCCUAAUGAUUUUAGUAAAUAUUAAGCGCAUCCAUUUAACUUUACCCCACCCUAAAAUUGAUGCAUUGAGCUUCACGACACGUGUCAUGGGACUCAUAGGCAAGGGUAGACAAUGGUAGGUCCCAAGAAAUUUUUAAAAAUGAAAUAAAAAGAAGAGGCUCCAAUGUGAACAAAAAUAAUCAAAUCAAAUCCGACAGGGAGCUGCAAAGGGAGCGGUUGAGAUUGUCGGAUGGGCGUGAGGUCCGUCUUGUAAUGAUGCACCCACCGUCCAUCAUCGAUCCGGCGAGAGAGCAGUUUUCAACGUUGGAUAAGGGCGGAUCCAUAGCAAGUAUCCUGGACCUGAAGACUACCGGAUAAUUCGGCCUUUGAGAACGUGUGCGUGCUUUUUACAGUGAGGAAGCUUCGAACAGAAUAACCCACUUCAACAGAAAAAAAAAAUUUAUUAUUUUAAUUCGGAGAAACUAUAUAGAAUAAGAUUUUCUUAAUCAAGAUAUAUUAAUAUGUAGAAGAGAGGACCGUCUGAUUUUUUAGUAUUUCAACACGAAGAGUAUGCGAGCUUAUUCGUAGAAUUUACAAAAUAACUAUUAUAGUAACAAAAUCGAACGAAAGUUAAUUUACGUGGUGUUGAAAUGAUUGAAUCAUUUUCGCGAGAUGAAUAAUCACUUAUACAUGCGUUGCAAACUAAGAGGAUAACAUUGACCAAUUUGAAAUGUGUAUAAAUGUAUUUACAAAACAUUAUUUUUUUUUUAAUAUCUCCUCAACGGCCUCCUAAAAGUUCAUACUUCUAAGUAAGAUGAGUUGCCGGUUUAUCUCAUUUGACUUUUUUUUUUGCACUUGGAAAAAUUACUGACAUCCUUUCAUAUUUUGCCAAUUAAUAUCAUUUUUUUUGCUUAUUUCCUAGCCUUUGAUUUUACAACAUUAAAUUUGGAGCACGAGGCAAAUAUUACAUGUAAGGACUCAUGCUUUAGAUUCUCUUUUACAAAAGAGAGAGAGAGAAAAAAAAAAGAUCCACACUUUGGGUUUCUAAACCCUAAAAAGCCCAAGUCGUCAUUUUAUGUUCCAUACUCCUAAAAGUGAGUGACUCUCGUAUUUGUUGACUCCCCCUUCUAAGCUCUAAUUCGCAAUAAAGAAUUUUUAGAGGGGUCAAUUUUCAAUUUUUAUUUUUUGCAAGCGCCCAAAAAUAUUUUUAUCGUAUGCAAUUUAUUGGUGGUGCCAUGAAGCCAAGAACGCAUCACUAGAUUGACCAUUUGCUCAAUGUAAUCGCCAGAAGCGAAUUUAGGGUUAAGCACAUGUUUUAGAAAUGGUUUAUUAAAAAAAAGAAAGCGUGAAUGAAAAGUUGCUAUUUUUUCAUUGUGCAAAGCUUACUACAAGAAAGUAAAAGAAUAAGGGAAGCACAAACCUAUAAAGAAAUUAUUGAUCUACUCCUGCUCGUCUGACCCUAGACUUUCGUUAGACAACUACACAGACCCUUUUUCUUGUUUAGCUCAAAGCACGUGCUUUUGUUUUCCUUUUUGAAUAGAGAAAGUUAGCCAUCUCUGAUGACUUGUAGUUGUCUAACGAAAAGUCUUGAUCUUCUUAAGUUUAUGAUUUAUGUACAUGAACAAACAUAUGAUUGUGGAAACUCCAAAUAUCUGAGGAUAUUCUCCAAACAUUACGAGACAAGUACUCGUGGACGAAAUGUAUUUUAUAUCGAUUCCUCUAACCACUGAUGUGCAUUCUUGAAAGUCUUGGUCUUUGUUUAUUGUUUUUGGUAGGUGAAAGACUUGGUCUUCCUGGCCUUUAUAGUUUUCUCUCUCCCUUAUCUCUUUAUCACUUAGAUUCACCAUCACCCAUGCCUUUCCCCGUGCUCAACAGUGUUCUCCUCCUGCUCGUCUGAACCUAGUGGUCUUGCUUGCUGGAUUGCUGUCAUUGAUCUCAUCCCAUUCACCGGUUUGCUCCAGGAAGUCUCCUCGGAAAAGGUAAGAGACAUCUAUCUUCUUGCUCUGUUUUUCCCUCAAACUGAUGCAGACGCAACUUGCUACCUAAAGCAUCUGGUGGGCGUUUAUUACCCGAGAGCAACCACCUAUUCUUUCUUAAAUCUUUCUAUUAGUGGAGGCAAAGAAGAGGCAACAGCAGCAACAUAAGUUUACCGAUUUCAUGCCUAUCUAUGAUCCUGAUUAAAGUUGAUGUCAAAUACUUGAUGUCGAGUUUAAUAACAAAAACCUAUUACUUCAAUUUUUGUUAGAUAGUAAUAUUAGGACAUUAAGAUUAAUUUUUAAUCUCUCCAUCAUUGAUCUCUUUACUAAACACACACUGACGUGGAAUAAUUUUGCUAAGUACAAGUUUGGGAUUUUACAUGAAAUAAUCACAUAUCAGUUUGGAAUUUUAGUCAAUUAAAUUGGGUAAACAACAAUAAAUAUUAUAAGGGGAUAGCUUCAUUUCUCUUAGAAGAGAUUCACAGGAAAUUCACGUUUGCUAUAAUUUCGCGGUGCCAAACAAAAUAAAUAAUUUAUGUUGUGAUUUUUCACAUCUUCACUCUUAUGGUAGAUUUACCAUCAACGGAAGGGGGUAAGGUGAAUUAAUAAGGUGUUUGCGAUUUAGUAUUCUUUUAAAGUGUGCCAGUGUAAUCAAUCGAGUUAAGUCAAUUCAAUCGCAAAUUCAACUUCACAUGAAGUAGUCUUUGCCGAAGCCCUAAGGGUGUUGCAUGUGGACGACUUGUUUUCAUUGUGCGAAAACCGAUGAUAGUUCAGUGUUGGAAAACUUAUUCAUGUUUUUUCUUUCAAGAUAGAGAAAAAUGUGAAGGUGUUCACAAUAAAAAAUUAAAUUUUGAAUUAUGGAAAUCAAAAUUGUGCUUUGUUAGAAAAAGACCAUGUGAAGACUUAGUGUUUUGUUAGAGAAAAAGGUAUUCCUACGUCAGAAUAGUUUCUGAGAUUGUUCCAUCUUUUAUAAUGCGCAUUAAUUUGGUAUUAAACAGAAUUCACAUAUUUUUCAACCCUAAAAAGCCCAACUUGUCAUUUUAUAUUGUACACUCCUAAAAGUGAGUAACUUUCUUAUAUUUGUUGAGUCCCCCUUUUAAGUUCUAAUUCAUGCUAAAGAAUCUUUGGUGGGGCUGUGAAGCCAAGAGCACAUCACUCCAUGGAUUUAAUCUCUCUCUCUCUCUCUCUCUCUCUCUCUCUCUCUCUCUCUCUCUCUCUCUCUCUCUAUAUAUAUAUAUAUAUAUAUAUAUAUAUAUAUAUAUAUAUAUAUAAAAUCUAUUUUCCCUUUGAGCCCGAGAGAGAGGGGACCAAUAAUGCAUGUAAUCGGCGAAUUAAGGGUUUAGUACAUGUUUUAGAAAUAAUUCAUUAAAAAAAAGCGUGAAUGAAAAGUAAAUGUUUAUGAUCGUGCAUUCCCAUUCCCUCUACCAGAAAGUAAAAGAUAUGAUAGCGAGAAGGGAGAGGGAAAAAAUAUACAAAGUCACCACCUGAAAGAAGUGAAAUGCUCCGACCAAAAAAAAGUCAUUUUGUUAAAAAGAUUAUUAUGGCUCUAAUCUCCUUGUGAAUUUUACAUUAUGAUGUUAUCAAAUAUUGAAAACUCAUCAUUUUUUUCUUAAUUGUAGACCAAUAGAAGACAAAUAAAAGAGGGACAUUUGCUUUCAUCCAAGGUAAAUAGGAAAUACAUCGUUGAAAGCAACCUUCUUGUUUGUUCGAUCUUUUCAUACUUGUCGGAAUCAUCAGAUCGCCAUUGCCUGUGAUGGAGAGCACGUUAUGUCUGAGUGAACUUCACGCCUUUAUGAACGUAUCAGAAUACAUAAUGUUUAAAGAACACUUCUAGAGAGAAUGCCUUCUUGCUGCACAAAAAGAUGUAGAAAAACAGACGAAAGGCUGGAUAGAGAGCACAUGCUCUCCGAACGAUUCUGCUCAUUGAUCGCAUAUUCUGGAUAUGCGAUCAAUGUAUGCUUUUAGUGGCAGUUACAGUGUUAAAACCUCGUAGCAAGAUGGGCAACAAUGAUCCGCUGAAGAGUGCUGAGGUAAUAGUUGAUAAUCGGAAUCGCUUGAUAAGAGAACAUGGUCCUCUGAACACAAAUUUCCCGUUCAUCAGUCUGAUGCAUAAAGUAUAAUUUUCAGUAGAUUAUAUAAUGUUAGCUGGUGAAUUUUUUUACUCCUUCACUAUUUGCAAAGCGAACUAAACCAACUUGGUUAAUGGAUUAGUGAUGUGCCUGACCCUUUUUUCUUGUUUAGGCAUGUGCUUUAUUUUCCUUAUUGAACAGACAAAAUUAGCUGCCUUUGAUCUCUUUACAUGGUCAUUCACGUUGAAGGAGGAAUCAGUAAUCUUAUCAUAUCCUAAACAAAUGCAAAUUUUCAGCAUUGUAACUGUCACGUAAAAGCCUACAUUGAUUGCAUAUUCACCAAUAAAGCAGAAAAAAAAGGACAAUGAAUCAUAAAGAUUCUAACAAUAUAUGAAUGCUAGAAAAGCCAACACAUCAGUCAUAAGCAAUGAAGUUUUUGAUGAAAAUAUGUGUGCGCUCUAAGUUGGUCAUGUGUAGAAAAAUCACAUUUUAUCCUCUGUUUGGAUAACCACAAGAAAAGUCUCAAUCUGAAGAAAAGGGAGAACAAUUGACGAAACAAGCACUCUUGGGCAAAAAACUAUUUAUUUUGAUUUGUCUAACCUUUCGUAUGCGUCUCUUAAAAGUCUUGGUGUGUUUUUUUUUAUUCUCUUUGGUGAGUGAACGUCUUGGUCUUCUUAUAAUUCAUAGUUUUCACUCUCCACUAGCUCAUUUUAACUUUGCUUCAUCAUAACACCUUUGUUGUUCUCUAUAGUGACCGAUUCACCCAUGUCCAUUGGAGAGAUCGUUUUGGGUUCCUUCUUGGCUUCCCUCUUUCAAGUCUUGUUUGAAAAGUUGGCUUCUCUCCCUUUGGGCUCUACACAACAAGAAGGAAUUAGCAUUGCCCAGCUCAAGGGUUGGGAGGAAGAGCUGACAAUGAUCAAUGCAAUGCUGGCUGAUGCAGAGGACAAGCAACUCAAAGGUGAUCAUCAAGUGAAGCUAUGGUUGGAUGAUGUUGGGGACUUGGCCUAUGACAUGGAAGACUUGCUCGAUAAGUUCGCCAUCAAAACUGCUCAAGUUAAGAUGGAGGUAGAAUCUAGCACAAGCAAAGGUCGAAUGAAAUGGAAGUUCUCUUGCUUUGGCCAAAAUAAACCCUCCAGAUGGAAUCCGAACCCAUCCUCGCUCGUGUCUAAAACCAUGGUCCAAGAGAUCAAUGGUAGGUUGGAAGCGAUCAUCGAUAGGAAGGCUCGUUUAGGCUUGGAAGUGAUCGUCGACAGGAAGGUUUGUUUAGGCUUGGAAGCGAAUGUUGUGAACAGAUCCACCUACAUCAAUAAAAGGGUUCCCACUAGUUCUCUGCCGGAGCGUCAAUUUUUUGGCAGGGAGGAGGAAGAAAGGGAGAUACUCGAAUUAUUGAUCCGUGAGGUAAAAAAUGACACACUAAGCAUAGUCCCCAUAGUUGGGAUGGGCGGUGUUGGAAAGACGGCCUUUGCUCAGCAGCUAUAUCAUAAUGCCGAAGUGAAUAGCUAUUUCGAGAAGAGAGCAUGGGUUUGUGUCUCAGAUGUUUUUGAUGUCCUUGACAUAACAAAGACUAUUUUGCAGUCGAUCACUGGAUUGUCCAAUGUGGGUGAAGAUCUUGACAAGCUUCAAGUUAAGUUGAAGGAUAGUAUAUCUGGGAAGAAAUUUCUAGUGGUUUUAGACGAUAUCUGGAAUGAGGAGUAUGAAAAAUGGACUACUUUUUUAAAGCCAUUUGAAGUGGGGGCUAAGGGAAGCAAGAUCAUCAUCACGACUCGCAUCCUUGAAGUUGCUGCCAUAAUAGGAGCUUUGCCAUAUCAUUUGAGGGAAUUGUCCUCUAAGAAUUGUAUAAGUUUAUUGGCCUUUCAUGCUCUUGGAGCAACAAAUUUUGAGAGCCACCCGGCCUUUGAAAUGAUAGGCAAGAAAAUAGCGAAAAGAUGUAAAGGUUUACCUUUCGCAGCGAAGUUGUUCGGCGGUGUUCUACGUACUAAAAAAACUCCCGAGGAAUGGCAAGAUACCUUAAAUAACAAAAUAUGGAAUCUUGUGAUGGCAAAGAAUGAUGAGGUUCUUCCAAUUUUAAAAUUGAGCUAUGUCCAUCUUCCUUCCCAUUUGAAGAGGUGUUUUGCUUAUUGUGCGGUAUUUCCUAAGGAUUACGAAAUUGAGAGGGACGAGUUGGUACUCUUAUGGAUAGCAGAGGGAUUGUUACAUGGACAAAAAACAAAUGAUAAUAUCUUGAAAUUGGGACGGAAUCACUUUGAUGAGUUAGUAUCCAGGUCGAUUCUUCAACAAUCAAGUAUGGACGCAUCUAAGUUUUCAAUGCAUGAUCUUUUGAAUGAUCUAGCAAAGUCAAUUGCAAGAAAGACUUGCUUUAGCUCGGGGAGCUCUCAGGUGGCAAGUAAUGAACAUGAUGUACCAUCUCUUGAAAAAACUCGUUAUGCAUCAUUCAUCCCAUUGUGGCAUAUUGCAUCAGAAUGCCUAAAACCAUAUCAAGGAAUGAAGGCACUAAGAAGUUUAAUUCUAGUGCGUGAUGGAUCUAGUAAGAGGUCUUUCUCUAUUUCCAACGUGGCAGUGCAUGACUUGCUAACAAACUUGGAGUACUUGAGAGUAUUCUCAUUAUGUCAUUGUGAUAUCGUAGAGGUACCGAAUUGUGUUGAUGAUUUAAAACAUCUUCGAUAUCUCAAUUUCUCAUACACUCAUAUCAAGAGGCUACCUGAGUCAAUUAGUGCCUUGUGCAAAUUACAAGCUCUAAUUUUAAGAGGUUGUUAUGAGCUUUCAAAGUUGCCUCAAGGUAUCACAGAGUUAGUCAGCUUAUAGUUUCUUGAUAUUAGAGAUACAGUGAGUCUAAAAGAGAUGCCGUUGGGUAUCGGUAAUUUAAAGAAUCUUAUUAUCUUGUCCAAAUUUGUGGUAGGACAAGAGAAAGGGUCGCAAUUGAAAGAGUUAAAGAACUUGCCACAUCUUGAAGGACAAUUAUUCAUAUCAGAAUUGCAAAAGGUGGAAAAAGUUAUAGAUGCAGCCGAUGCUAAUUUGCUUCAAAAGGUAGACCUUGCCAACUUAUCUUUGCACUGGGAUAAACAUGUGCAAAAUCUCCAUAAUCAUGAGCUUGAAGCACAAGUGCUUGACUUUCUACAACCUCACACUAAUCUUAAAACUCUCACUAUUUUGAACUAUGGUGGUGCAAGAUUUCCAUCAUGGUUAGAUUGUACGUAUUCUAAAAUAGUGUCUUUAUGCUUGUGGGAUUGUCCUAAUGUUGUGUCGCUGCCUAUGAUUGGACAACUACCUUCACUUAAGGAAUUAUCUCUUAAAGGUCUAGAUGCAAUAAGAAGGUUAGACUCUGAAUUCUAUGGAGGCAAGAUGCCUUUUUCAUCAUUAACAACUUUGAAGUUCAAAGAGAUGUCGACAUGGAGGGAUUGGUCUCCUUAUGUCGAGGGCCCAGAAGAAGAAGUUUCAUUCUUCCGUCUUAUGUAUCUUGUUGUCCGGGGCUGUCCUCUGUUGGUCGGGACAUUACCUUAUCGACUUGAUCAUCUCAUAAAGCUUGAAAUUUAUUCAUGUCCGCUUUUGAAAAACUCAACCAAUGAUGUUUGCCUUCCAUCUCUCCGUGAGUUGUUCCUUGAGGAUUGUAACAAGGAGAUCUUGAAGAGCUUGGUCAACCUAACUUCUUUGACCAUUCUUACAAUUGAGAAUCUUGCAGAGCUUGUUUGCUUUGAUCAUGGGUUUAUGAGCCACUUGAUCAAGCUAAAGGAGCUUCAUAUAGAAGGGUGUGACCAGUUAAAAUACUUGUGGCAAGAUGGAAAUGAAAUGCUAAAUCUCACUUGUCUCCAGGAAUUAACCAUCGUAAGUUGUCCUCAGUUCACAUCAUUCGUGCCGAGAGAAAGAGAAAUAGAGCUGCCGUGCAACCUUGAAAAGAUGGAAUUGAUUAAUUGCGCCAAUUUAGAAAAGCUUCCAAGCAAGAUGUACACACUUAGUUAUUUAUCUAUUAGAGAGUGUCCAAAGCUCAUAAGACCAACCAUUUCUUCAUAUGACCCCAACAGCAACAACCCGAUGCCUCAACUUCAAUCUUCAUGCACAAGUAAAUGUGAUUCUCUGACAUCUUUUCCCUUAGCCAAAGGCAGACUUGCUACUUUAAAGGAAGUUUCUAUUCAAGUGUGCAAGGGAGUGGAGUCGUUGGAAGAGAUCAUUGUAGAAUCGCUCGAAUCUAUGACAAUUAUCAGUUGUGAGAAUCUAAGAAGCCUACCGCAAUGCCUUCACACAUUUUCCCAUCUCACUCGCUUGAAUAUAAGUUACUGUCCAACACUGGAGAUAGAGGACUUACCCGCCCUUCCCCUCACCCUAUUAAUUCUCAUGCUUGAGAGAUGUUCAAAGAUAAAAUCUAUUGCCAGCUUUGGUAAUCUCACUAUUUUGGAAAUAAGGGUGUGUCCAGCAUUGGAGAUAGAGAAUUUCCCUCCCCUACCCAUAACCUUGUCUUCUCUUACACUUGAGGAUUGUCCGAAGCUAAAUUCACUGCCAAAUCGCUGGCGUCAUCUUACAUCCCUCUUGUACAUAUGUAUUUUACAUUGCCAAAAUAUCAAAUGCUUGCCCAAAGAGGUUUGCCUCCCAAUUUAGAGACCCUCGCUAUUUAUGGGUGCGAGAAUCUGGAGCCAGAGCCAGUGAGAGAAUGGGGCUUUCACCGGCUCACGUCCCUCACGACUCUAAAAAUUGAUGGAAGAAUCAUGAGAGGGGAGGGAGAGAAGGUGCGGUUUCCUUCGGGGGACGAGGACGAGGACGAGGAGGAUGCGUGGCGUCUUCUCUAUCCUUCCUCUCUAACAUAUCUUUAUAUAGCAAAUAUGAGGAACGUGGAAAGAUUAUCACGCGGUCUUCGGAACCAUCUCUCCUCUCUCCAAGAGUUAACAAUUGAAGAUUGCCCGAAGUUGAGGGACUUGCCAGAGGAUGGCCUCCCUCCCUCCCUCCAACUAUUGUAUAUAAAAAGAUGCAAGAUUCUGAAAGAUCGAUGCUCAAAACACACCGGCGACUAUUGGCCCCUCAUCCAAGACAUCCCUCUCAUCGUCAUUGAUCUCCAUCAGAUCCAAUAAAUUGAUUCGUCCUGCCGGUCAGGUUUUCUAGGGUUCAGGUAAGCUUAUGGUUUCGAAGGCAUCGAUUUCCCGUUCUGCUUCCUCAACUCGAUGCUCAAUACAAAUCGAUACUUUCCCAUGUAGAUGUUUCACGUAACUUUCUGGAAGUCCGAGAAAUCCCUAACAUAUGCAUUGAUUGGGUUCGGAUCCAAUGAAGUGAGAUCGAUCCGCUUUCGCUUUCAUUUGCCAAAUGCCGCGAUUCAUCCUUCGAUGUGCAGUCAGUUUUCUUGCGGUUAGGGUAAGUUUCUCGGUCUUGAAUGCAUCAAUUUCGCUUCUGUUCUUCAGUUCGAUGCUUUAUGCGAAUUAAUUUUUUCCCAUGGCAAAGUGUCAAAUGGAAUUUCCAGAAACUGCUGUAUCGUGAAAUACAACUAAAAUUCAGGGCUGAAAGAAUGAUAUUUAGUUGCUUGAAUCCCAUCGAGAGCUUCCUUUAGUCUCCAAUUGCACUGCUUGCGGAAGUUGAUGAUAUUCUUGUAUGCCACUGCAGCAUCCAUCUCAUCUACUGCGUUGGGCCUGCUUUUCUCUUCAGUCACUGCAAUGCACUUUCGAACAGCAAGUGAUUCAGCCUCCUCUGCAGGCAUGCAUCUCCUCUGUUUCAUUUCCGGCCUCAAUCCCAACAAAGGCAUGUUAUGUAAGACCCGUCUUAGUUAAUCUUCACAAAACCUAGCUCAGGUUUACUCCAGGCACCGUGCCUUUCAUCCACCCGAUCAUGACUCUGCUUCCAUUUUUACUGGAACACACUUCAAAAAAGAGCUUUUUUGACCUGUGCAAGUGAUAGUUUUUAGUAUCUGGUGAUUUAAGGCUAAAAGUUACUAUAUUUUGUUUCCAGAUAUACCAACAGGUCUAGGCAAUCAUUCCUAGGAGUCAUUAAGCAUACAAAUGAGUCGCCAUCACUAGUGGUUGGUGGUCUCCCAUAUUUGUGAGUUAACAAAUCACAAGAAUUUUUCAAUGAAAAAAACAAAUAGAAAAUCAUCAAGAGGGUAUCCCAGUUCAUUUUUCAUUGCUGUGAAUUGGGUAUGCAUAUAAUUUUGUUCUGAUCACUCUACGCAUGAAAGGUAAUUUUUAUUCAGGACUAAUUGCUUUGUCUUGUUUCAGAUUUUUGGCUGAGAAACAUGAGGGAUGUGGAAAGACUAUCAACUGUGGACGAUGUAACAAGCGUGGAGUAUUCUGUUUCCUUCGUCUCUACAUCUCUUUGGAUGAGAACUAUGAGGAAUGUGGAAAGAUUAUCAAGUGAUCUUCACAGCUAUCUCUCCAUUCUCGAAUGGCUACAUUUUAUGGGUACUGGAACUUGCCAGAGGAUGGCUUCUUUCCCUCCUCCAAGUAUUCGGCACAAUGCAAUUUCAAAUUCUGAAAGAUUGAUGCUCAAAACUCAGUGGUGACUAUUAGCACCUCAUCCAAGAUAUCCAGCUCAUCGUAGUUGAUCGAGUUCGGGUAAUAUAAGAAGAUAUCUCUCCAAUGUCUAAUUUUUGUCCUUCAGGUAAUGAUUCGGACUUCCUUUCUUUCUUGCACACUCGUCAUUUAGCUACUGUUGCUGCUGCAGGAUCCAUGUCUAUUCUGAAAUCGUCAACUCAAUACUAAAAAGUUCAAGUUAUUCAAUGGACGAGCUUCACCUAAAUUUCCACAAACCAGAUACCGAAGGUCCAACAUUGACAUUUAGGUUGCUCUGUUUUGUUUAACAAGGAAGUACGCAAUGAAAUGGUUAAAAUGCUUGCAUUGUACAGCGAGUCAACCAUUGUUUUAUACAAGUGACUAUUCCUCAAAACAAAUAAUACUUGCAUGGAUUUGCUCACAGUGCUGGAAUUAUGAUGCGUGGAUGUGCCUGUUUGAUGUUAUAUUUUGAACUUUUUUCAUUCCCAAAACUUGUUUAUCUUUUCACUCAUGCAAAUGCACUAUGCUUUGCGUGAGAAUCAUGAAGAAUUGUUGCUUUUAUAUUGAUAUUUUUUUUGUAAUUUCAGCGUUUGUUGUAUUUUCUCUUCCAAAUAUCUUCUUUUUUAUGCUCUAGCUUAGUGACCUGAAUUAUCUCUACUGUGCUUGUUGGGCAAAACAUCCCA